UACGGAGGAUGCAAGCGUUCUCCGGAAUUAUCGGGCGUAAAGCGUCCGUAGGUGGUGAUUCAAGUCAGCGGUUAAAGCGUGGGGCUUAACCUCAUACAGGCCGUUGAAACUGGAUUGCUAGAGAGCGGUAGGGGUCGAGGGAACUCCCAGUGUAGCGGUCAAAUGCGUAGAUAUUGGGAAGAACACCGGUGGCGAAAGCGCUCGGCUGGGCCGGCACUGACGCUGGGUGACGAAAGCUAGGGGAGCGAAAGGG
rnacentral:rRNA from 1 species